rnacentral:rRNA from 1 species
GUGAACGCUGGCGGGAGGCCUAACACAUGCAAGUCGAACGGCAGCACAGUAAGAGCUUGCUCUUACGGGUGGCGAGUGGCGGACGGGUGAGGAAUACAUCGGAAUCUACUUUUUCGUGGGGGAUAACGGAGGGAAACUUACGCUAAUACCGCAUACGACCUACGGGUGAAAGCAGGGGAUCUUCGGACCUUGCGCGAGUGAAUGAGCCGAUGUCGGAUUAGCUAGUUGGCGGGGUAAAGGCCCACCAAGGCGACGAUCCGUAGCUGGGCUGAGAGGAUGAUCCGCCACUCUGGAGCUGAGCCACGGUCCUGACUCCUACGGGCGGCAGCAGUGGGGACGAUUGGACAAUGGGCGGAAGCCUGAUCCAGCCAUGCCGCGUGGUGAAGAAGGCCUUCGGGUUGUAAAGCCCUUUUGUUGGGAAAGAAAAGCAGCAGGUUAAUACCCCGCUGUUCUGACGGUACCCAAAGAAUAAGCACCGGCUAACUUCGUG